UCUAACCGACAAAACAAUGCAAAAUUGAGUCCGCCUUUUGUUGCUUUAGUAUCCAGCAGCAAUAUAUACCAAACAAAACGAAAGGAUUUAGAUACUACAAUGCUGAUCUCCGGGAAGACAGCUAUCCUGCACUGCAACUUUAUAUUUCCACUAUUAAGGAAAAUAACCACAAAGGUCCAGAGAAUUUGCAUGGCACCCUCCCUCCCCGAAUAUGCAUAAAGACUUAGUUUGAUUGACAACAGAGUGUACAGGUAGUCCUCACAACCACAAUUGAGUCCAACAUUUAUGUUGUUAAAUGAGAAAUUUGUUAAGUGAGUUUGUUCCAUUUUACGAUUUUUCUUGCCACAUUUGUUACAUCAAUCAAUGCAGUUCUUAAAUUAGUAAUACAGUUGUUAAGUGAAUCUAGUUUCCCAUUGACUUUGCUAAUCAGAAGGUCGCAAAAGGAGAUCAAAUUACUCCGGGACGUGCAACCGUCAUAAAUGUGAAUCAGUUGUCAAGCAUCCGAAUGUAAAUCAUGUGACUAUGGGGAUGUUGCAACAGUCAUAAGUGUGAAAAAUAGUCAUGUCACUUUUUUCAAUGCCGUUGUAACUUUGAACAGUCACUAAAUGAACUGCUAUAAGUCAAGAACUACCUGUACUGUCUUGAAACUUAGAUUGAAUAAAUCAAUCUCUUUUAGAAGAGAGUUCAAUAUUUCUACAACUUGAACAUUUAAAAAAGGUGUAAUAUGUAGCUUUGCAUGUCAACAACUUUGAUAUUCCCGUUGGUAAAUAAAGCAAAUGCUAGAACGUA